rfam:Salmo salar isolate Sally breed double haploid chromosome ssa17, whole genome shotgun sequence.
UGCAUUCACUACUGUAAAUCGCUCUGGAUAAGAGUGUCUGCUAAAUGACUAAAA